GAUGACAUACUGGCACGUUUGCAAGCAGAUGGCACAUCAAGUAACAGCUAAAAGCUGCACAGUUGAGAGCAUCCUGUCGGGCUGUAUCAUCGCAUGGUAUGGCAACUGCAAUGCCCGCAACCGCAGUGCUCUCCAGAGGGUGGUGUGGUCUGCCCAACAAAUCACCGGUGGCAAACUACCUGCCUUCUAGGACACCUACAGCACCCGAUGUCACAGGAAGGCCAAAAAGAUCUUCAAGGACAUCAACCACCUGAACCACGGCCUGUUCACUGUUAUCCAGAAGGAGAGGAGGAGUUGAAGGCGGAGCAUGCGUAUUACCGGCGGCAACACCCAGGUCUAUCUGUCUUCAGAGGGAUCUAGGAUGCAGACAGCAGAUGGUGGUGGAGGUGUUUGGGGUGGAGAGGACAGUGGAUUCAGUUGGAGGACAUCCCAGGCACUUGGCAGUGUUGGCACUGCUACUUCCUACCAGAUGGGAGGAGUUGAAGGUGGAGCAUGCCUUGUACCAGCGGCAGCACCCAGAGCUCCAAGCCAUGAUGGGUCGACUUCUUACAGUUCCUGCUACUAUGAAAACUGAGCGAGGUCAUCAUGUUCGCCCGCAAGGACAUCUUUGCCUCCUGCCAACCACCGGGGGCACCUUCAACACCUCCUCGCCUUGAGGACACACACUGUGGCUGCGUCUGUGUCUCAAUAGUCUAGUAGCUUUCUUUGACUGGCACUUUAGUGAGGACAAUACUAUUCUGGUUAACACUUGUCACCAGUAUGUACAGAGGCCCUCUAGAUCGAGAGUAUUGAUAAAAUACGAAUGCUUUUAUGGAUGUUUUUUAUUUUGUGAUAAUGUUUUUACUGUCUUUUGUUUGUAUGAGGUGCACUGAAACAAAUUCCAAUCAACUCUGUUGAUUUGGCAAUCGCAAGAGGUCCAGUUAUGUCAGUUAUUGUGAAUGAAAAUAAAAUGUAUUAUUUCAUGUCUUGUAUGUUUCCC
rnacentral:lncRNA from 1 species